UACGUAGGGUGCAAGCGUUAUCCGGAAUUAUUGGGCGUAAAGAGCUCGUAGGCGGUUUGUCGCGUCUGCUGUGAAAACCGGAGGCUCAACCUCCGGCCUGCAGUGGGUACGGGCAAACUAGAGUGCGGUAGGGGAGAUUGGAAUUCCUGGUGUAGCGGUGGAAUGCGCAGAUAUCAGGAGGAACACCUAUAGCGAAGGCAGCUGCUGGGACGUUACUGACGCUAAGGCGCGAAAGCGUGGGGAGCGAACAGG
rnacentral:rRNA from 1 species